GCCCGGAUGGUGGAAUCGGUAGACACAAGGGAUUUAAAAUUCCUCGGCGUUCGCGCUGUGCGGGUUCAAGUCCCGCUCCGGGUACCA
rnacentral:tRNA from 4 species